GACGAACGCUGGCGGCGUGCUUAACACAUGCAAGUCGAGCGGAAAGGCCACUUCGGUGGUACUCGAGCGGCGAACGGGUGAGUAACACGUGAGUAAUCUGCCCCUGGCUUUGGGAUAGCCACCGGAAACGGUGGUUAAUACCGGAUAUGACCGCUUCUCGCAUGAGUGGUGGUGGAACGUGUUUCGGCCAGGGAUGUGCUCGCGGCCUAUCAGCUUGAUGGUGAGGUAAUUGCUCACCAUGGCUUCGACGGGUAGCCGGCCUGAGAGGGUGACCGGUCACACUGGGACUGAGACACGGCCCAGACUCCUACGGGAGGCAGCAGUGGGGAAUAUUGGACAAUGGGCGGAAGCCUGAUCCAGCAACGCCGCGUGAGGGAUGACGGCCUUCGGGUUGUAAACCUCUUUCGCCUGUGACGAAGCGCAAGUGACGGUAACAGGUAAAGAAGCACCGGCCAACUACGUGCCAGCCGCCGCGGUAACAC
rnacentral:rRNA from 1 species